GUGCUCGCUUCGGCAGCACGUAUACUAAAAUUGGAACGAUACAGAGAUUAGCAUGGCCCCUGCACAAGGAUGACACACAAAUUCGUGAAGCGUUCCAUAUUUUU
rnacentral:snRNA from 1 species